rnacentral:rRNA from 1 species
UAGGGAAUCUUCCGCAAUGGACGCAAGUCUGACGGAGCAACGCCGCGUGAGUGAAGAAGGUUUUCGGAUCGUAAAACUCUGUUGUUAGAGAAGAACAAGUGCUAGAGUAACUGUUAGCACCUUGACGGUAUCUAACCAGAAAGCCACGGCUAACUACGUGCCAGCAGCCGCGGUAAUACGUAGGUGGCAAGCGUUGUCCGGAUUUAUUGGGCGUAAAGCGAGCGCAGGCGGUUCCUUAAGUCUGAUGUGAAAGCCCCCGGCUCAACCGGGGAGGGUCAUUGGAAACUGGGGAACUUGAGUGCAGAAGAGGAGAGUGGAAUUCCAUGUGUAGCGGUGAAAUGCGUAGAUAUAUGGAGGAACACCAGUGGCGAAGGCGACUCUCUGGUCUGUAACUGACGCU